rnacentral:rRNA from 1 species
CUACGGGGGGCUCCAGUGAGGAAUAUUGCACAAUGGGGGAAACCCUGAUGCAGCAACGCCGCGUGGAGGAUGACGCAUUUCGGUGUGUAAACUCCUUUUAUAUGUCAAGAAAAUGACGGUAGCAUAUGAAUAAGCACCGGCUAACUCCGUGCCAGCAGCCGCGGUAAUACGGAGGGUGCAAGCGUUACUCGGAAUCACUGGGCGUAAAGGACGCGUAGGCGGGUUGGAAAGUCAGGUAUGAAAUCCUACAGCUUAACUGUAGAACUGCACUUGAAACUUCUAAUCUAGAGUAUGGGAGGGGGAGAUGGAAUUAGUGGUGUAGGGGUAAAAUCCGUAGAUAUCACUAGGAUACCUAAAGCGAAGGCGAUCUCCUGGAACAUUACUGACGCUAAGGCGUGAAAGCGUGGGGAGCAAACAGGAUUAGAUACCCCUGUAGUC